UAUACAGGUGUUUGCAUGGCUGUCGUCAGCUCGUGUCGUGAGAUGUUCGGUUAAGUCCGCUAACGAGCGCAACCCUCGUCGUAUGUUAUAUGUGUCAUACGAGACUGCCGGUAAAAAGCCGGAGGAAGGUGAGGAUGAUGUCAAGUCAGCAUGACCUUUAUAUCCAGGGCUACACACACGCUACAAUGGUCUGUACAAUGGGUAGCCAAGCCGCGAGGCGGAGCCAAUCCUGAAAGCAGGCCUCAGUUCAGAUUGCAGUCUGCAACUCGACUGCAUGAAGCCGGAGUUGCUAGUAACUGCAGGUCAGCAAUACUGCGGUGAAUACGUUCCCGGGUCUU
rnacentral:rRNA from 1 species